rnacentral:rRNA from 1 species
AGUCGACGCGAAGGGGACAAUCCCUGAGUAGAGUGGCGAACGGGUGAGUAACACGUGGGUGACCUGCCUUCGAGUGGGGGAUAACGUCCCGAAAGGGACGCUAAUACCGCAUGACUUCCCGCCUUUGAAGUGGCGGUGAUUAAAGCUGGGGAUCGCAAGACCUGGCGCUUGAAGAGGGGCCCGCGCCCGAUUAGCUAGUUGGUGGGGUAAUGGCCUACCAAGGCUUCGAUCGGUAGCCGGCCUGAGAGGGCGGACGGCCACACUGGGACUGAGACACGGCCCAGACUCCUACGGGAGGCAGCAGUGGGGAAUUGUUCGCAAUGGGCGCAAGCCUGACGACGCAACGCCGCGUGGAGGACGAAGAUUUUCGGAUCGUAAACUCCUUUCGAUCGGGACGAAUCGUCUCCGACCUAAUACGUCGGGGGACUGACGGUACCGAUAGAAGAAGCCCCGGCUAACUCCGUGCCAGCAGCCGCGGUAAUACGGGGGG